rnacentral:rRNA from 1 species
GACGAACGCUGGCGGCGUGCCUAAUACAUGCCAGUUGAGCGCUGAAGGUUGGUACUUGUACCUACUGGAUGAGCAGCGAACGGGUGAGUAACGCGUGGGGAAUCUGCCUUUGAGCGGGGGACAACUUUUGGAAACGAAUGCUAAUACCGCAUAAAAUCUUUAAACACAAGUUUUAAGUUUGAAAGAUGCAAUUGCAUCACUCAAAGAUGAUCCCGCGUUGUAUUAGCUAGUUGGUGAGGUAAAGGCUCACCAAGGCGAUGAUACAUAGCCGACCCGAGAGGGUGGACGGCCACAUUGGGACUUGGACAAGGCCCAAACUCCUUCGGGAAGGAGCAGGAGGGAAUCUUCGGCAAUGGACGAAAAUCUGACCGGGCAACGGCGCGUUGGGGAAGAAGGGUCUCGGAUCGUAAAACUCUUGUUGUAGGGAAGAACGAUGGUGAGAGUGGAAAGCGCACCAAGUGACGGUAACUACCCAGAAAGCGACGGCUAACUACGUG